GAUGAACGCUGGCGGCGUGCCUAAUACAUGCAAGUCGAGCGAACAGACGAGGAGCUUGCUCCUCUGACGUUAGCGGCGGACGGGUGAGUAACACGUGGAUAACCUACCUAUAAGACUGGGAUAACUUCGGGAAACCGGAGCUAAUACCGGAUAAUAUAUUGAACCGCAUGGUUCAAUAGUGAAAGACGGUUUUGCUGUCACUUAUAGAUGGAUCCGCGCGGCAUUAGCUAGUUGGUAAGGUAACGGCUUACCAAGGCAACGAUGCGUAGCCGACCUGAGAGGGUGAUCGGCCACACUGGAACUGAGACACGGUCCAGACUCCUACGGGAGGCAGCAGUAGGGAAUCUUCCGCAAUGGGCGAAAGCCUGACGGGGCAACGCCGCGUGAGUGAUGAAGGUCUUCGGAGCGUAAAACUCUGUUAUUAGGGAAGAACAAAUGUGUAAGUAACUAUGCACGGCUUGACGGUACCUAAUCAGAAAGCCACGGCUAACUACGUG
rnacentral:rRNA from 1 species